rnacentral:lncRNA from 1 species
UGGAUUUCGCCUUUCCUGCACCAGCUGGAAGAGGCGUUGGCGCUUGCACACAGCAAGCUGUUGUACCAGGAGAUGAGUGUGGAGCCGGGCUGCAGAGCUGUCAGCACCAUGUCUUUGGGGCUGCUGGAGUUCAGGAAGGAGGAGAGCUUCUCCAGGAACAAAGCCACCCUUUUCCUCUCCCUCAGGAAGGAGGAGAAGCUGUUCUUGGUCCGCACGGAGUGCAAGAAUGGGGACACCUGGUGAUUCACCUGGCUCAGAAUCCUCUCCCCCAGCAGUGGCCAGAGGAGAGAGAGACAAGAGACAAGAACCAGGUUUCUGAAGUCUCUGGACAGCUGGCAAAAGAGAAAAUUCAAACAAGG